CGUUACACCUGCACAGCAGCGGCCCAGCAUCACGCCGCUGAGGAAGAAGGCCGGCGAGAAGAAACACCAGAUCAAAAGCACGCCAUCGCCCGUAAAGAGAGCAAGAAAAGGAUUCGCAGCAGCGACAAGGGAACCUGGUGGUGCCAGGGAGCUGAACAGGAAGCUCAGUUACAACGAUGGCGCUGGUCGGGCAACGCCGGUGACGCUGCCGCCGCCUGCCUUCCGAGAUGGGCAAGCUACCGUCGUUUAUCAACAUCCGCAGGUGCAGGGGGGGCACACGUACCAGGACAGCCUCCGGCGCUUCGUGCGGCACGCAGGGCUCAAAGCAAGGCUGGCCACCGAGUUCAAGAUCCUCGACUGUGACACUCGGGGCAGGCACAACCCC